GACGAACGCUGGCGGCGUGCUUAACACAUGCAAGUCGAACGGAAAGGCCCUGCUUUUGUGGGGUGCUCGAGUGGCGAACGGGUGAGUAACACGUGAGUAACCUGCCCUUGACUUUGGGAUAACUUCAGGAAACUGGGGCUAAUACCGGAUAGGAGCUCCUGCUGCAUGGUGGGGGUUGGAAAGUUUCGGCGGUUGGGGAUGGACUCGCGGCUUAUCAGCUUGUUGGUGGGGUAGUGGCUUACCAAGGCUUUGACGGGUAGCCGGCCUGAGAGGGUGACCGGCCACAUUGGGACUGAGAUACGGCCCAGACUCCUACGGGAGGCAGCAGUGGGGAAUAUUGCACAAUGGGCGGAAGCCUGAUGCAGCAACGCCGCGUGCGGGAUGACGGCCUUCGGGUUGUAAACCGCUUUCGCCUAUGACGAAGCGUGAGUGACAGUAAUGGGUAAAGAAGCACCGGCUAACUACGUG
rnacentral:rRNA from 1 species